rnacentral:piRNA from 2 species
UGCAAGAGGUGAGGCAGCUGAUCAAAGCA